rnacentral:rRNA from 1 species
GUGAACGCUGGCGGUAGGCCUAACCCAUGCAAGUCGAACGGCAGCCCAGUAAGCGCUUGCUCUUACGGGUGGCGAGUGGCGGACGGGUGAGGAAUACAUCGGAAUCUACUUUUUCGUGGGGGAUAACGUAGGGAAACUUACGCUAAUCCCGCAUACGACCUACGGGUGAAAGCAGGGGAUCUUCGGCCCUUGCGCGAUUGAAUGAGCCGAUGUCGGAUUAGCUAGUUGGCGGGGUAAAGGCCCACCAAGGCGACGAUCCGUAGCUGGUCUGAGAGGAUGAUCAGCCACACUGGAACUGAGACACGGUCCAGACUCCUACGGGAGGCAGCAGUGGGGAAUAUUGGACAAUGGGCGCAAGCCUGAUCCAGCCAUACCGCGUGGGUGAAGAAGGCCUUCGGGUUGUAAAGCCCUUUUGUUGGGAAAGAAAAGCAGCAGGUUAAUACCCCGCUGUUCUGACGGUACCCAAAGAAUAAGCACCGGCUAACUUCGUG